rnacentral:precursor_RNA from 10 species
UAUGAGAAUAUCCUGUUUCUGUCUGUGUUUCCUUGUCAUACAUUCGUCACAGUGGCAUUCAAACACUGGACGGAAGUCUGAUAAGGGAUCGCUAAGGAACUUCUUCAAAAUGCCUAGA